UGGGGAUUGCGAUCUCCCCAUGAGGCGACAGCCGAAGCAUCGC
ncrna:unclassified sequences chromate-resist RNA